GAGUUUGUAUUAUGUGUUUAUGAUUUUGUGUUGCCCUUGCCACUCUUCGAUGAUAAUGGUUAAAUCUAUAUUAUUUAUUGUUGCUAUUAUGCCUAUGUGUGCAUUGGGUGGUAUGCCUAUGUAUGCGUUGGGUGUUAUGCCUACUGUGUGUUGCUAACCUCAUCACUAGAAAAAGUAGAGACCACACCACACUUGGCAGCACAUAAUCAAAACACCAGCACAUUGCGUCUGAGGAACAUACUUGCAAGCAAAUGUUAUGCUUCCGUUGCUACUAUCAUGUUGUCCGGGACUUUGUGAACAACCAAAGGAAGUACUUAACAUGAUUUAGAGCUUGUAUUUGCUCAACCAAACUCUACAACCACAAAUGCAGUAGACCCAAAAUCAAUGCAUGCAACCAAUCACACCUUAAAGGAAGCAAGUGUACAAGAGCAUUUCUAGCCGAACCCUGAA
rnacentral:lncRNA from 1 species